AGAGUUUGAUCCUGGCUCAGAUUGAACGCUGGCGGCAGCUCUUACACAUGCAAGUCGAGCGGAAACGAGUUAUCUGAACCUUCGGGGAACGAUAACGGCGUCGAGCGGCGGACGGGUGAGUAAUGCCUAGGAAAUUGCCCUGAUGUGGGGGAUAACCAUUGGAAACGAUGGCUAAUACCGCAUGAUGCCUACGGGCCAAAGAGGGGGACCUUCGGGCCUCUCGCGUCAGGAUAUGCCUAGGUGGGAUUAGCUAGUUGGUGAGGUAAGGGCUCACCAAGGCAACGAUCCCUAGCUGGUCUGAGAGGAUGAUCAGCCACACUGGAACUGAGACACGGUCCAGACUCCUACGGGAGGCAGCAGUGGGGAAUAUUGCACAAUGGGCGCAAGCCUGAUGCAGCCAUGCCGC
rnacentral:rRNA from 1 species